rnacentral:rRNA from 1 species
GACAGAGGCCUCAAGCGUUAGGCGGAAUCACUGGGCUUAAAGCGUGUGUAGGCGGAUCGUUAAGUGUCUUGUGAAAUCCCACGGCUCACCCCGUGGGAACUGCUGGGCAUACUGGCGAUCUUGGGCCAACUAGGGGCAACUGGAACAAGCGGUGGAGCGGUGAAAUGCGUAGAUAUCGCUUGGAACGCCAAAGGUGAAACAGGUGCUGGGUUGUGCCGACGCUGGAGACACGAAAGCCAGGGGAGCAAACGGG